rnacentral:rRNA from 1 species
CGAGUCAUUGUAGCAAUACAAGGCAUACGGCUCAGUAACGCGUAGUCAACCUAACCUAUGGACGGGAAUAACCUCGGGAAACUGAGAAUAAUGCCCGAUAGAACAUUAUGCCUGGAAUGGUUUAUGUUCCAAAUGAUUUAUCGCCGUAGGAUGGGACUGCGGCCUAUCAGUUUGUUGGUGAGGUAAUGGCCCACCAAGACUAUUACAGGUACGGGCUCUGAGAGGAGUAGCCCGGAGAUGGGUACUGAGACACGGACCCAGGUCCUAUGGGACGCAGCAGGCGAGAAAACUUUGCAAUGUGCGAAAGCACGACAAGGUUAAUCCGAGUGUUUCCUGCUAAAGGAAUCUUUUGUUAGUCGUAGAACCACUGAUGAAUAAGGGGUGGGCAAGUUCUGGUGUCAGCCGCCGCGGUAAAACCAGCACCUCAAGUGGUCAGGAGGAUUAUUGGGCCUAAAGCAUCCGUAGCCUGUUUUGUAAGUCUUCGGUUAAAUCCACAUGCUUAACAUGUGGGCUGCCGGAGAUACUGCAAAACUAGGGAGUGGGAGAGGUAGACGGUACUUGGUAGGAAGGGGUAAAAUCCUUUGAUCUAUUGAUGACCACCUGUGGCGAAGGCGGUCUACCAGAACACGUUCGACGGUGAGGGAUGAAAGCUGGGGGAGCAAACCGGAUUAGAUACCCGGGUAGUCCCAGCUGUAAACGAUGCAGACUCGGUGA